rnacentral:rRNA from 1 species
GUAGGGAAUAUUGCGCAAUGGGGGAAACCCUGACGCAGCGACGCCGCGUGAGUGAUGAAGGCCUUCGGGUCGUAAAGCUCUGUUGCAGGGGAAUAAAAAAAUGAAGGUACCCUGUGAGGAAGGAUCGGCUAACUUCGUGCCAGCAGCCGCGGUAAGACGAGGGAUCCUAGCGUUGCUCGGAAUCAUUGGGCGUAAAGAGGGCGUAGGUGGCUUGGUAAGUCAGGUGUGAAAGCCCAGGGCUCAACCCUGGAAGUGCAUUUUGUACUACUGAGCUUGAGUGUCGGAGAGGUUACCGGAAUACCUGGUGUAGUGGUGAAAUACGUAGAUAUCAGGUGGAACACCGGAGGCGAAGGCGGGUAACUGGACGAACACUGACACUGAGGCCCGAAAGCGUGGGGAUCAAACAGGAUUAGAAACCCCGGUAGUCC